GACGAACGCUGGCGGCGUGCUUAACACAUGCAAGUCGAACGAUGAACCCGGAGCUUGCUCCGGCGGAUUAGUGGCGAACGGGUGAGUAACACGUGAGCAACCUGCCCUUGACUCUGGGAUAACUGCGGGAAACUGUAGCUAAUACCGGAUACGACCCUCGGCGGCAUCGCCAGGGGGUGGAAAGAAUUUCGGCCAAGGAUGGACUCGCGGCCUAUCAGCUAGUUGGUGAGGUAACGGCUCACCAAGGCGACGACGGGUAGCCGGCCUGAGAGGGUGACCGGCCACACUGGGACUGAGACACGGCCCAGACUCCUACGGGAGGUAGCAGUGGGGAAUAUUGCACAAUGGGCGCAAGCCUGAUGCAGCAACGCCGCGUGAGGGAUGACGGCCUUCGGGUUGUAAACCUCUUUUAGUAGGGAAGAAGCGAAAGUGACGGUACCUGCAGAAAAAGCACCGGCUAACUACGUGCCAGCCGCCGCAGUAA
rnacentral:rRNA from 1 species